rnacentral:rRNA from 1 species
ACUAAAUAGAUACCCAGGUAGUCCACGCCCUAAACGAUGUCUACUAGUUGUUGGUGGAGUAAAAUCCAUGAGUAAACGCAGCUAAACGCGUGAAGUAGACCGCCUGGGGAGUACGGUCGCAAGAUUAAAACUCAAAGGAAUUGACGGGGGCCCGCACAAGCGGUGGAUUAUGUGGAUUAAAUUCGAUGCAACGCGAAAAACCUUACCUGGCCUUGACAUGCCACUAACGAAGCAGAGAUGCAUUAGGUGCCCGUAAGGGAAAGUGGACACAGGUGCUGCAUGGCUGUCGUCAGCUCGUGCCGUGAGAUGUUGGGUUAAGUCCCGCAACGAGCGCAGCCCUUGCCAUUAAUUGCCAUCAUUUAGUUGGGCACUUUAAUGGGACUGCCGGUGACAAACCGGAGGAAGGUGGGGAUGACGUCAAGUCCUCAUGGCCCUUAUGGCCAGGGCUUCACACGUAAUACAAUGGUCGGUACAGAGAGUUGCCAACCCGCAGGGGGAGCUAAUCUCAGAAAGCCGAUCGUAGUCCGGAUUGUUCUCU